AAAGUGAUCAAUUUCUUUGCGCUACUGAUUCCAAAUGUAUUAUCUGGUCUUGGGUAUGCGAUGGGAUGGAUGACUGUGGUGAUGGCUCAGACGAACGGGGGUGCUCCAAUCUUUGUUGGAAUAUUUAUAACCCACUUGCAAGACGGAGUAUAGUAAAAUCGAGUGCUGACAAAGCUGUAUCCAGGGGUCUUGACAAAGGAGGUAAAAAUGAAGCUGCUGGUUCGAAUUUGUACAAAAAGAAAAACGAAGUUGAAGCAGAGAAAAUUGUUAAUAAACUUGAAAAGCUCAGGUUACUCAGAAAAGGAAAACAUGGAAAAUAGAAUUGAACAUGUACGGAAGAAAAUGCUCGCAAACAAUUGGAAUCGACCAUGGACUAUGAUAUAAUUAAAUAUGUAUAAACAAUCAUUAACAGUAGUAUGCAAUGUUAUAUUAUCAUGUAUGUAUAUUUUGUAAAAACGAAAUGUAACAUUAAUGUAAUUUAAAGUUUUAAUUGAUUUAAUAUCUUCAAAAAUUUUUAACAAUAAUUGGUCAAUAUCUAUAUUCGUAUUUUACACUUUCAUUAUUCAUUCUAUUUUAUUAAUAAAAUACUUCUUGCAAUUGA